ensembl:snRNA U6 U6 spliceosomal RNA
AUGCUUGCUUCAUCAGCACAUAUACUAAAAUUGGAACAAUACAGAGAUUAGCCUGGCCCCUGUGCAAGGAUGACAUGCAAAUUCGUGAAGUGUUUCAUAUUUAU